rnacentral:rRNA from 1 species
AUGGGGCGCAAGCGACACCGAAAGAAGGCCGCCGCCGUCGCCGCCGCCCCGGCCCCGGCCCCGGCCCCCGUCGCCAGCCUCCCCGUGGAUAUGCUAGCCAACAUCCACGCCCGCCUCAGCCUCCUCGACCGCCUCACCUUCGCCGCCGUCUUCCGCACCUCGCGGGACGCAUUCAAGCCGGAGCCGCCCUGUCUCCUCCUGCCUGGCGACGCCCCGGAGACCGCCGCUCUCUUCUCCCUCGCCCAACGCCGCGCCGCAGCCGUGCGCUCCCCGGGGCCCGGCCACGCCGUCCUGGGCUCCUCCUCCCGUGGGUGGCUCGUCACCGCCGACGACCGGGCCCGGAUGCACCUCGUCAACCCGGUCACCGGCGAGCGCCGCGCGCUCCCGGCCAUCGACACCACCCCUCACAUCUUCGCCCACCCCGGGCGCCACCACUUCACCGUCAACGUCAUGUGGUUCCUCAGGGGCCCGCCGCCGUACCCCCACGGCACCAUGACGUACACCGCCGAGAGGGUGCGCCACGCGCUCUACCGCAAGGUCGUCCUCUCAGAUUCCGCGGACGUCGCCAUGCUGAUCACGGGGCCGGUGUACGGCGUCGCGGCCUUCGCCAUGGCGGGGGGCGGCGCGUGGAGGCUGGCGCCCCCGCGCGACGGGGUCGAGCCGGUUGCCACGUCGGUGUCCGGCUCGUGGCACUCGCGCAACGGCGUGGAGGACGCCGUCCACCACGAGGGCAGGUUCUACUCAAUCACGUACUCCGGCGAAGUGGAGGCAUGGGAGGAGCGCGACGCCAACGCUGCCGGCGUGUUCACGAGCGCGGUGGUUGCGCCGAGCCUGCUGCUGCCGGCCAGUACGGACCAUCGCAAGUACCUCGUGGUGGCGCCGGCCGGACGGCUGAUGGUCGUGCUCAAGGAGACCACGGGUUGGCAGACCUGCUCCUUCAAGGUGCAUGUUCUUGAUGCCGGUAGGGAGGAGUGGAAGGAGACGGACGACAUCGGCAACACCGCGCUGUUCGUUGCGGUGAACGGUUCCCUGUGCGUGUCAACGAGGGAGCACCCGGAGCUCAAGGCAGGCUGCGUCUACUACUACACCGAGGAUGAGGAUGAUCUGGGGCCGUGCAAGGAUGCACGCGAUGAUGAGGAGCAUGGCAUCAGGGUGUUCAGCCUCAAGGACCGCAGAACAGAGAUGGUGGGGGGCCUCGGAUGGCGCCGGAGCUGGCCGCCCCCGGCGUGGUUCAUUCCUUCCAUCCCAUGA